rnacentral:lncRNA from 1 species
UAGUAAAGUGGAAUCAGUAGUAGUUACCAUAGGUAGAUAAGCCAUAACUUUCUUAGUUUCCAGAGGAGUGAAAGGCUUUUCCUAGUAUACGAGUUGGGGAAAUAAGAUCUUUGAUGUUACUGGCAAGGAAGCACUAACAGAGUCAAAAGAGAAUGCCCAGUGCGAGGUCCAGUGAGAAAGUAGAGUUCCGGGAGCAGGUGAAGAAUCCGAGGCUAAAGUAAGGUAAGGUCUAGGUAGGCUUUCAGCACCUUGUUUUCUUCCAAUACGAGGGUAGGCUUGCUGGGUGUUAGAGAGAGUUUAGUCUACAGGUGUUGAGUCUACAGGUGAGGAAGCUGGGUUAAGGGCAGACUCCGGUAUUCCCCCUAACUGCUCCAAUCUUAUUUCUUAACUAUAGGAAUGGAAUCUAUCUCUUUUUGCCAGUCAAUAGUAGAGCAUCUCAUCUAACUAAGGCUCCUCUCUUGCUCUUUCAACUAACCAUACUCUGGCUAAAAAUACUGAUGAAACUCAUAAGUCAAAUCAUUAAACUACUACGGAAGGGAAGGAAUUCUAGUAUGGAGUGCUCGAAGAAAGAGAAUCACCAGUUCCACUCACAAGUAAGAAAGUCAGUAAUAAAUCAAUUCGAACUUGUUAUUCCGGAGUCCCAAUUAAGCUUGCCAACAAAGAAGUAAACGCCGCUAACCUUAGCAACGGCUUACGGGUUCUUAUUCUCAUACAGCUUAACAAUUGAAUGGAAUGCCCACGUAACGCUUGUUCAGUGCAAGGAAAGUCCCCAAGAGAGGAGAGGAGCGACAGGUUCCAAGGGAAAUGAAAUAACUCCACUAAGCAAUAGAAGAGACAACCAGACAAGAGCGGAAGGGGUUUCAUAGAAGUAUAAGAUCUGUAACUAACCUAGUACUGUUGCUGGUGGAGUACGGGAUGCGCCUAUUUGUUCUUAAAGGUGAUUGAUGGGCUUUACCUUAUUUGUCAUAGAGAGAAUCUGCUGUGCGAGUUAGGUCUACUCAAGAAUCCGCAGUGCCUGUUAGGUCUACGAGAUCAUCAGAAUGAGAAUUGCCUGCUCCUCUGCCCUUAAGUAAUUGGUUAGAGUAUUCUACCUGCCCUUGUGACCAAUCCUAUAGAUGGACCUUAUCUUACUAGAUCUAUGCAACUACUAAGUGCUUUGUUGGAGGCUUAGAAGCGGGGGAAGUAGAGAAUGACCAUUUCCUGCUCGGGAAAGCACCCUUCUGUCUUUCUGUCUUUCUUUAGAAGAAAUAUAAGAUUCCAUUCGCCAACCUAGCACUCCCGCCUUUAACAGGUUCACACCCCAAUUAGGAGCGGAUCAGAGAGAGGCAUAAGCUACAUCCGGUUAGGCUCGCUGACGCAUGAACUAUUGAUUGCUACUGGACUUGAUACGGCUUCAGACCCACUUGCUACAGGCUCUGCUCUAACUGCAUCCAGAGUAGAUCGGACUAACGCGCAACCCGGUUCACUGACGCGUCACCGGCAACCGAGCACUGAGAUGAGAGCCAGAGGGGGUAAAUGACUGACAUCUUCUAAUAAUCACAGAAACCAUUGAUGGACUUACUCACUAUUGAUUGAAACUAUUGAUUGAACUGUGGAUUCCCUGUCUUCUGCUUCUCUUGUUCCUUCUCCGGGUAAAGUAAGGUUCAGGCUACACUACAAGUCCUUUGCCCUUAAGUAAUUG